UUGGUUUAAAUUAUUGUGGGUCUACACUUUGAAAAUAUAACUCAUACAAAGUGGUGAGACAUAAAUUAAUUUCAUCCAA
rnacentral:pre_miRNA from 1 species